GUGAGUAAAGCCUAGGAAUUUCCUAGUAGUAGGGGAUUACGUUCGUAAACGGCGCUUAUACGCAUACGUCUUACGGGGAAGCAGUGGCCUUAGGGCCGUGCGCUUUCAGAUGAGCCUAGUCGUAUUAGCUAGUUGGUGAGGUAAUGGCUCACCAAGGCGAUCAUCUCGUAAGUGGUUUGAGAGGAGAUCAGUCACACUGGAACUGAGACACGGUCCAAGACUCUUACAGAGGCAGCAGUGGGGAAUAUUGGACAAUAGUCGAAAGCAUGAUCCACCCAUUCCGCGUUUGUGAAGAAGGUGUUCAGAUUGUAAAGCAUUUUAAGUUGGGAGGAAGGGCAUUAACCUAAUAAGUUAGUGUUUUGGCGUUUCCGACAGAAUAAGCACCGGCUAACUUUGUACCAGCAGCCGCGGUAAUACAGAGGGUGCAAGCGUUAAUCGGAAUUACUGGGCGUAAAGCGCGCGUAGGUGGUUUGUUAAGUUGGAUGUGAAAUCCCCUGGCUCAACCUGGGAACUGCAUUCAAAACUGACUGACUAGAGUAUGGUAGAGGGUGGUGGAAUUUCCUGUGUAGCGGUGAAAUGCGUAGAUAUAGGAAGGAACACCAGUGGCGAAGGCGACCACCUGGACUAAUACUGACACUGAGGUGGGAAAGCGUGGGGAGCAAACAGGAUUAGAUACCCUGGUA
rnacentral:rRNA from 1 species